rnacentral:rRNA from 1 species
UAAUACGUAGGGCGCAAGCGUUGUCCGGAAUUAUUGGGCGUAAAGAGCUCGUAGGCGGUCUGUCGCGUCGGAUGUGAAAGCCCGGGGCUUAACCCCGGGUCUGCAUUCGAUACGGGCAGACUAGAGUGUGGUAGGGGAGAUCGGAAUUCCUGGUGUAGCGGUGAAAUGCGCAGAUAUCAGGAGGAACACCGGUGGCGAAGGCGGAUCUCUGGGCCAUUACUGACGCU